AGUGAACGCUGGCGGUAGGCCUAACACAUGCCAGUCGAACGGCAGCACAGUAAGAGCUUGCUCUUACGGGUGGCGAGUGGCGGACGGGUGAGGAAUACAUCGGAAUCUACUUUUUCGUGGGGGAUAACGUAGGGAAACUUACGCUAAUACCGCAUACGACCUACGGGUGAAAGCAGGGGAUCUUCGGACCUUGCGCGAUUGAAUGAGCCGAUGUCGGAUUAGCUAGUUGGCGGGGUAAAGGCCCACCAAGGCGACGAUCCGUAGCUGGUCCGAGAGGAUGAUCAGCCACACUGGAACUGAGACACGGUCCAGACUCCUACGGGAGGCAGCAGUGGGGAAUAUUGGACAAUGGGCGCAAGCCUGAUCCAGCCAUACCGCGUGGGUGAAGAAGGCCUUCGGGUUGUAAAGCCCUUUUGUUGGGAAAGAAAAGCAGCAGGUUAAUACCCCGCUGUUCUGACGGUACCCAAAGGAUAAGCACCGGCUAACUUCGUG
rnacentral:rRNA from 1 species